GCCGGUGUUGCUCAGUGGUUACAGCACUGGCUCACACACCAGAGGGUUGUGGGUUCAAUUCCCAGUCAAGGGUA
rfam:Myotis lucifugus cont2.10154, whole genome shotgun sequence.